rnacentral:rRNA from 1 species
UGGGGAAUUUUGGACAAUUGGGCGAAAGCCUGAUCCAGCAAUGCCGCGUGUGUGAAGAAGGCCUUCGGGUUGUAAAGCACUUUUGUCCGGAAAGAAAUCCUUGGCUCUAAUACAGUCGGGGGAUGACGGUACCGGAAGAAUAAGCACCGGCUAACUACGUGCCAGCAGCCGCGGUAAUACGUAGGGUGCAAGCGUUAAUCGGAAUUACUGGGCGUAAAGCGUGCGCAGGCGGUUUGCUAAGACCGAUGUGAAAUCCCCGGGCUCAACCUGGGAACUGCAUUGGUGACUGGCAGGCUAGAGUAUAGCAGAGGGGGGUAGAAUUCCACGUGUAGCAGUGAAAUGCGUAGAGAUGUGGAGGAAUACCGAUGGCGAAGGCAGCCCCCUGGGCCAAUACUGACGCUCAUGCACGAAAGCGUGGGGAGCAAACAGGAUUAGAUACCCCUGGUAGUCCACGCCCCUAAACGAUGUCAACUAGUUGUUGGGGAUUCAUUUUCCUUAGUAACGUAGCUAACGCGUGAAGUUGACCGCCUGGGGAGUACGGUCGCAAGAUUAAAACUCAAAGGAAUUGACGGGGUCAUAGCUGUUUCCU